rnacentral:rRNA from 1 species
CACGUAGGGCGCAAGCGUUGUCCGGAAUUAUUGGGCGUAAAGAGCUCGUAGGCGGUUUGUCGCGUCUGCUGUGAAAACCCGAGGCUCAACCUCGGGCCUGCGGUGGGUACGGGCAGACUAGAGUGAUGUAGGGGAGACUGGAAUUCCUGGUGUAGCGGUGAAAUGCGCAGAUAUCAGGAGGAACACCGAUGGCGAAGGCAGGUCUCUGGGCAUUAACUGACGCUGAGGAGCGAAAGCAUGGGGAGCGAACAGG